AAGAACUUUUUGUGUUUGGUUAAAUGAGAAUUCUAUUUUCAUCUCUUUAUAGUUUGUUCUGCUUUUUCAAGUUUGCUCUUGUGUCGAUUUCUUUGAUAGGUUUUACCAUAGUUCCGUAUGGGAAAAUUGGAUAUGUUCUCACGAUUUUGUUAUGCAUAUGUUGUUUGACUUCUUCAGUAGUAUAUAUUCUGCUUUAUAUAUGUAUUGUUAUUGCCAUGCUUUUGAUUUUUUUUAAUGUGAACAUGUGUGACUGUAGGUGAUAUACCAGACUGUUGGUAGUUUUCACUUCCUUCAACAAGAGUAGGAUAAUGAACUUAAGAGUAAAUGAUUUUUGAAUUAACUUACAUUUGUCGGGGUUGGCUGGGCUGGUUCAUGGGUGGAUUACGAAGGUUUGUUGAUUAGGAUAUCUAAAUUAUAUAUAGUUUAUCAAACGAAGUUGAUGUGUAACGACUGCGGGAAGGAAACUUCAUAGCAUAUGGAGAGUACUUUGUCAGACAAAUGAAUGGUUCACAGUUCUCAUCUUUCACAUAACAGUAUAAAAUAAAAUGAAAUACUACGUUUUAAGUGAUAUUCUUAUAUUUAUCAUAAUAGCUUUCGGAAUCUGACUCCGAAAGUUGGAGUAGGUCCGUAAUUUUGAAUAUGACUUGUGUGCAAAAUUUGAGGUCAUUCGGACGUGGUUUGAUAGGUUUCGGCAUCGGUUAUGGAAAUUUGCAGUUUCGACAUGCUUGCUUAUGGAGGUGGGUUUUAUUGGAUUUGUGUACAUCAUCAGAUAUCUUCGUCUUCCUCAUCUCUUCAACUUGUGCAGUUCUUGUGAUCUAUUGUGGUUGCGUUCUACUUUUGUUAUGCAGUAGCACUUGAACCAGAAGGAAAAUCAAGUCGAAUGCAUUAUGUUCAAUGCGGAGAUAAUGCAUCUUGAAGAUCUGUUUUGCCAUUUCCAUACAUACUUGGUGUCAGUUGCACAAGUCAAAGAAUCAAACUAUAUGUCAAAUCCGCUUAACAAAUUUACAUGGACAAUUGAUAUAUAUACCAUUGUUGAGCCAAUAGAAACUGUUAAUCCUCCAGAAAGUCCAUUGUCGCCGCCAACGCGCCUAAAUCUUACACCAUUUGGCAACUUUGAAUAUCAACCUGAGGGAUCUGAAUUCGAUAUGCUUGCCAUUGUGCUCAACGCCAGUCCCUCAACAUAUGCUCCAAAUGGGAGGAGAAUUCAAGACUUUAUCAUCAUGGAUGAUCAGAAAAAACCAACGAAAUUCACACUCUGGGAAGAUUUUAUUGAUCAUGAAGGGAACAAACUACUCUAACUGCUUAAAGAAGAAUACCCAAUCAUCCUUGCUAGAAAAAUUGGAAGACCAAAGUCGUCGUCAGGAUUGACUAACAGAUUCAGUACAACAAUUGAAAUCAAUCCUCCAUACCCACAAGCAAAUGCGUUGAGAACAUGGGCCCAACAAAAUCAACAAAUGCUUAUUGCGUACACAAUGAAGAGCACAGGUCCAACAGGCUCUCUUUUAUAUGUUCCUUUCGAAGAAGAGAUAGUACCAAUUGUAGAAAUUCGACAGCAAGAUCCAGGCCAAAUAUUCUACAUACAGGCUGAAGUCACACUACAAAAUAAGAAUCAACGAUUGUCUAUUCUAGCUUGUUCAAACUGCAAACAACACUUCACACGAGCUAUCUCACGGAGAAUGUUCUAUUGCACUAAUUGCCGUCAAGCUACUCAGUUGGUUCCCAGGUGCCAAUUUGAAUUGACGCUUACAGAUCAGAGUGGUUCUACAAUAGCAACUAUUUCCGACGAGCCUGUAGAAAAAAUAUUGCUUCUCACUUCGGAAGAGAUUUAUGAUAUCUGCAAUGUCAAGAAAUAAUUGUUGCCUCUUGUGAACGCGCAAAAGCUAUUGAUUGGCAAGAUCUUCAAGAUUCAAAUAAAAAAGUUGUUUACAAGAAACAAUGAGGCAGAAAAGUUAAUUAUUUUGUCUUUCAUGGACAAAAGUAAUUCGGGUAUCUCACAAAUGCCAGCCACCAUCAAGGAUGUUGCGGAAGGAAGUAAACGAAAAAUUGAACACGUUGCCCCAGAGAAACAAGAGAACCCACACAUAACAACCAAAGGCAAUGAUUCCUACAACAAAUGUAAGGCGGAAAUGAAAAUUUUCCCUCCAAAAAACUGUUGAAAGUGAAACAUCUUUUUCUACUAUUUUGGGAUGCAAAUGAAUCCACAUCUGGGUGUUGUUUUUGAAUGCGGUUAAGCUCACUUUUGCGACUGCUUUCUGCAUGUUCCUCUACUAGGAAUAUGUCGUGCUGACAUGAGUUAUGUUCACUUUUACGCCUGCUUUCUGAAUGCUCCUCUACUCAACAAAUAUCACGACAACACAAGGGUGAAAAAUUUCUCAAAAAUUGUAGUGGAGGCAAUUUUAGAUUUUCGCAGUGAACAUUCCAUUCAGUUACAGGUAUUCCUGAGGCAUAGAGCGAGUUUUCUGCUGUUCAGUUUUCAUUGGAGUUAUCGAGAUAUUUUUGGUCAAAAGCUAAUAGAAAAAGGACCAGAAAGAAGAUCAAAGACAGCAUAUGUAAAUAAUUGUAUUAUACAUGUUGUAAAUGCUGUGGCACUUUAAACAUCUCUUAAUGUGAUGCUCCCGUGAACGCAAACAAUGUAUAUUUUGUUCAAAAUGUAUGUAAAUUAAGUGUGUAUCACUUAGUAUGAAAUAUUUUGUCAAAGCAGGCCCAUGCUCGACUUAUUCACCAAAUGAAAGAAUUAGAGCUAUUACAAAGGUAAAAAUGAAGUAAAAAACUCACAUUUGCCAUAUUCUUUAUCUUUUGUGUAGGAUCAAAAAUGCUUCUGACAAAGGCACUCUAUGCUCGACUCAUAUUGGGCCUGUGCUGGCACAUGCCAUCAUCGCCUAGUAAAUAAAAGAGACUCAUAAUUUUAUAUGGAAAACACCCAAAACACACCUUUUUCAUCGGAGAAAAAUCGAGAAGUGCCAUAUCUUAUGGUUUUGCUACCAAAAUUUCUCUGUGAACGUUGCAAAGGAAGCAAACCAGAGAGAAGAUGAGACGGAAAGGAAAUUUAUUGAGCUAUCAAUUGAAUUUGAGGAACCCACUUGAUGAGCGAUGAAUAUUUCCUUCUCUAGUAGAGCACACACGGAGCAGAUCUAAGAA